UACGUAGGGGGCAAGCGUUGUCCGGAAUCAUUGGGCGUAAAGCGCGUGUAGGCGGUUCGGUAAGUCUGCUGUGAAAGUCCAGGGCUCAACCCUGGGAUGCCGGUGGAUACUGUCGAACUAGAGUACGGAAGAGGCGAGUGGAAUUCCCGGUGUAGCGGUGAAAUGCGCAGAUAUUGGGAGGAACACCAGUGGCGAAGGCGGCUCACUGGACCGGUACUGACGCUGAUGCGCGAAAGCGUGGGGAGCAAACAGG
rnacentral:rRNA from 1 species